rnacentral:rRNA from 1 species
UACGUAGGUGGCAAGCGUUGUCCGGAUUUACUGGGCGUAAAGAGCGCGCAGGCGGUCGUUCAAGUCGCGUGUGAAAGCCCUCGGCUCAACUGGGGAGGGUCACGCGAUACUGAUCGACUCGAAGGCAGGAGAGGGUAGUGGAAUUCCCGGUGUAGUGGUGAAAUGCGUAGAUAUCGGGAGGAACACCAGUGGCGAAGGCGACUACCUGGCCUGUUCUUGACGCUGAGGCGCGAAAGCUAGGGGAGCAAACGGG